AUUGAACGCUGGCGGCAUGCUUUACACAUGCAAGUCGAACGGCAGCGCGGGCUUCGGCCUGGCGGCGAGUGGCGAACGGGUGAGUAAUGCAUCGGAACGUGCCCAGUAGUGGGGGAUAGCCCGGCGAAAGCCGGAUUAAUACCGCAUACGACCUGAGGGUGAAAGCGGGGGACCGAAAGGCCUCGCGCUAUUGGAGCGGCCGAUGUCGGAUUAGCUAGUUGGUGGGGUAAAGGGUUACCAAGGCGACGAUCCGUAGCUGGUCUGAGAGGACGACCAGCCACCCUGGGACUGAGACACGGCCCAGACUCCUACGGGAGGCAGCAGUCGGGAAUGUUGGACAAUGGGGGCAAACCUGAUCCAGCCAGGCCGCGUGCGGGAAGAAGGCCCUCGGGUUGUAAACCGCUUUUGUUCGGGAAGAAAUCCUCUGGGCUAAUACCCCGGGGGGAUGACGGUACCGGAAGAAUAAGCACCGGCUAACUACGUG
rnacentral:rRNA from 1 species